UACGUAGGGUGCGAGCGUUGUCCGGAAUUAUUGGGCGUAAAGGGCUCGUAGGCGGUUUGUCACGUCGGGAGUGAAAACUCAGGGCUCAACCCUGAGCCUGCUUCCGAUACGGGCAGACUAGAGGUAUGCAGGGGAGAACGGAAUUCCUGGUGUAGCGGUGAAAUGCGCAGAUAUCAGGAGGAAUACCGGUGGCGAAGGCGGCUCUCUGGACCAAUAUUGACGCUGAGAAACGAAAGUGCGGGGAUCAAACAGG
rnacentral:rRNA from 1 species